GGCAGGGGAGGGGGCACAGGCUUGCUCAUUUCCAAGGACUGGAAAUUCACUCCUGUUUCUGCUAUUAAAACAACCAGUUUUGAGUUCCAUGCAGUAACUAUUACACACCCAGUAAAAAUGUCCAUAGUUGCUGUAUAUCGUCCUCCAGGUCCGCUGGGGAACUUUGUAGAGGAACUAGACACAACUCUCUCCUCAAUUAUAGAUGAGGAACUGCCCCUUGUGCUACUAGGAGACUUCAACCUCGAUCUCCUCAAGCCACAAACAACUGACUUCCUACACUUCAUCUCUGCUUCCAACUUCACACUUCUCUGCACGCCCGCAACGCACAGAGCUGGAAAACAACUAGAUCAACAUGUAAAUGCUCCACAGCCAACACAUCUGUCAUUUCUCUACAUCUAUCCGAUCACUCUUUUAUUCACUUCAGACUAUCCCCCCUGGCACGCACCACACCCACCUCACACUUUCGCCAUAAUCUCCGCACCCUCUGCCUACUCCGCUGUUUCCUCUGAGCUCUCCCCCCUAGACAUCCCCUCUAUUCAGGACCCUAACUGUGCUACAGACAUCCUCUGCUCCACACUAACAUCUUGCCUCGAGAGACUCUGCCCUCUAACCUCAAAACCAACACGUGCGACUCCACCCUCGCCGUGGAUCUCUGACGAGGUUCGCCGCCACAGGACCCAUCUUAGAGCAGCUGAAAGGCAGUGGAGGAAAUCCAAGUCCCCGUGUCAACUUAAUAAGUAUCAAUCUCUCCUGAAAUCCUUCUCUGCUGCUGUCACUACAGCAAAGACCAGAUACUUCCAGGACAAAGUAAGCAACUGCAAUGACUCUCGAAAACUUUUCUCGACUUUCAACCGUCUCCUGAAUCCUCCACCCCCUCCCCUUCUCUCUCAUCUGAAGACUUCGCUACCUUCUUCACAGAGAAGGUGGCUGACAUUAGCAAACAAUUCUCACCGCCUAACCCCAGACCCCGUCCUGCUGUUACCUCUGAAACCAGGAAUCUGUCUUCCUUUACUCCCCUCUCUGAAUCAGACGUGUCUAAAUUUCUCCAGUCUAGUCACCCCACCACCUGCUCCCUGGAUCCAAUCCCCUCACACCUCCUUCAGUCCAUACAGCCCACCAUAUUAUAUGCUCUUA
rnacentral:lncRNA from 1 species